GGGCAUUGGCAACUGUCGUAUCAGCGCCUAAACUUCAGUGUGCUGGGACCCCUUGAGAGGUAAGGGCGUUGUGCUGCGUGGCUGCACCUUUUAGCAUCUUAUUGGAGCUGGUGAGACAGCAGGCAACCCUCCCCAUUUAUCCAGGCUUGGGACUGGCUCAUAGUUGGGCUGGCUUGACUCCCAUGAGGCUGAGUACUUCUUUGAAUAUAUAAACUCCAGUGCUAUCCCUGCAUAUGUGCAUGGCUGUCAUAACUGAAUCUUGCACUUAAAAGAACUAAGACAUUUUUGCAAGGUGGGAAGUCUCGUGUCAAGAAGGAAAAAAAUAAGACAUUGAAUUGGGAAUGCUAGAUGGAGGCUGAUGCUCCAGGGAGAGGAGAAAACUUACCUGACAGGUGAUGCAAGAGAUGAGACACCAAUACCUUUUAAGACUGACUAGAAGAUGAGGAACCAGUCAGUAAAUGUGUGGCUGGUGCUGCAAACAACCACCACCACCACCACCUGCCAUCAUCUUGCUGCCAACUGCUUCCUGUUGUCAGACCCCGCUGCUCCCACGGAGAUGAUAAGGAACCAGCCAGCAUCAAUGUGGCUAUGACUGCUGACCACCACCCACCACAGCCAGCUACUGUCCACUGCUGGCACCUCGCAGCUUCCUGCUAAAGACUGAAUCACUGUUGUUUUCACUGGGCCAAAAGACACCUGAAAAGGCACUUGUACUUUAGUGACUGAUUGAUCUUUAUCUUAAGCAAUCAUUUAAUGCAGAAAAUGUGAAUUAGGUCUUACCACUAAUAAAUGUAAUGCACUGUCUCCAAUACCUCACCCACCUCUGAUAUUAAUUUAACAUAUGACUUUUCAAGUAAAUAAAACUUGUAUAGUU